CAUAAAUAUCUUUCACAACUAUCUACUUAGCUGGCUGUCUCAGUUUUUAGGGAGGGUCCACUGCUUCCUUGCAUAGAGUAACCCCCCUUUGCUUAUCCAGCCCCUACAAGUGGCAUUUAGGUGGUUCCAGUCCUCCAGGGCUGCGAAGGAGCAUCUCCAUGCAAAUAAAUAUCUUUGCGUGAUUGUCACUCAGGUCCAUUAAAGUGCCAUUACUGGGUCAGAGGGUGUGUACAUUUUACCGGACUUCGGGUAAACAGUCAAAACGGGACACUUUUCAGGUGAGGAAUCCUCCUGCGAACAAGAACUUUACAAGGUUCAGAGGGAGUUGAGGAAAAGAUAAGAAGCAGGCCCAUCUCCCUCACUUGGGCCACUACCACUGUCUAAUUGGAGAGAUUUAUAAAGUCUCCCAGGGACCCAGCACUUGACCCAGAAGCCCUGUGAAGGUCCUAAGUCCUUUCUAAUAGCCUCCUGGUGUAUCCAUUAUAGGCUUGAUUGUAGCAGGCUUAUGCUAGGCCUUCUUUGUGAAAAAUGAACUAUCUAGGAAGGUCGAACUAUCUUGAGAGGUUGUAUCUUGAAACAUGUAGAUAUAUACAUGCAGAUGCCAGUGGAGUGCAGUUCAUAAUUAUAUUCUGUAAUUACCCCUGACUGAACCCACAACUUAAUAUAGCACAGGUGUGAGCUACCAACUAACCCCAAUUUCAGGUCAAAAGGGUGAAAUCACUCUUUUCUCCCUCUCAACGUAGUUAAUAGCUAGUGUAAAACCAAUGAAAAUUAUUUGGCUUCAUUUGGAACUCCAUUUGUGUCGCUGCUUCCUUGCAAUUCAUAUCGUCUGUGUCCCCAGACAAAUCCAGUCUGACACUGGGUACAAUUCUCCCAUGUGGAAACUCAGUAACAAAGGAUGGCCCCACCCUGUAGGUUUACACCAUCAGAAUCCAAUUCUCCCUGCCCCUCCCAGCUCUGGCCUCAACUGCCUUCACUGCUGUCAGAUACCAGUGGUGCUGAUCCUUCAUAUGUAAAGAGCACAGCACAGGCUAUGAUACACAUACUGGAUCCUCACAACAGCCUUGGGAGGUUGGCCAAGCAAGGUCAUUACAGUAACCCUUAUGUCACAAAUGGGUCAACGGAGGCUCAGGGCAGGAAAGGACACGUUCAUAGAGCAAACAGGAGGCAGGGGAGAGGCUGAAUCUAUACCUUCUGAUUCCUAGUUCAGAAGCUUUUCCAUUGUAUCAGGGUAGAGCCGGAGGGGCCUGCCAAGUAGCCCAGCCUGACCAAGAAAAGUUAAAUCAUCUGCUCCAAGUCACACAGCUCGUUAGGGAUUACCUUUCACUGUGGCAGCCAAGUAAACUGGAAUGUAAGCAGACUGGCGAGAGAUGGAAGCAUUAACGAUACGUUGUUGCACAGCUUAAAGAAAACAGUGCUCCCAGGCUGGCAGUGACACUGGCCAUUGGGCCCGGUGACCACCAUGCACCUGGCCCAGAAAUGGGUUCCCACUUGGCCUGGGAUAAUUCCACCGUCUCCAUUUGACGAUGCCGGUGUAGCAGUGACUCACUUUGCACACAUCUGUGGAUUCCUGUCAGAGCUGGUUAUCUGUCUAAGGAGGGAUGUUAACAUUUAUGGCAGUGAGCAGGGACGUGUGACAGUUCAAGAAAGCAAGGUGCCAGCUACCUUUUGGAGCUGCAGGUGGUUUUUAUGAAAGCAGAAUAUUGCCACUUAUUAUUUAUUUCACUUUUUAUUUUUAAAAUGUGAUUAAUAUAGCUCGCCAAUAAAUUUGGCCGGGCACAAGUAUUUAUGAAGCAUUCUUGGCAGGCUUGGGGUGACACGGCCUAAUUGCUAGGUGGGCAGAGGCAGCCCUGUGAAGUGAGCUGCUCAGCCUGAAUGCGAACCAGCCUCAUUUUAUGGGCUUCCGAGGCGGUGGUUCUCACUGAGCUCCGGGGGAAUAAUCCCAGGAGGCUCCUAGCCGGGAAAGCAAGGCGAGAGAAGGCUGACAGAGCCUGAGAGGCCGUGGAGAGGGCUCCGGGCAGGUAGGCCAGGGUUCAAAGCCCAGCCCCCCAAGGGAGUGGGAUAAGCUGGGCAACCCCUCUAAACCUCUGUUUCCCCACAUGUAAAAGGUUUCAAAGGGUUGCUGAGAGGGUUUAAUGAGUCCACAUUUGGAAAGUGUCCUACAGUGCCUUACAAAUAAAUAAUAGGUACUCAGGAACGUUAAGUUUGAUAUUUACAAGAUGAUGGCCUCUCUGGAACAAAGCUUGGUUUUGAACCCUAGCUCUGCCACUAUUAGCUGUGUGGCUCUGGGUAAUUACUGAGCUCCUCUGUGCCUCAGUUCCUUCAGGCAUAAAAGGGGAAUAACCAGAGGGCUGCAAAAAGGAUUAAAUGAGACAAUCCAUACCUAGCACUCCACCGGUACCUAAUAUAGCUGCUAAAUUGUUGUGACUUCUUCCCUUGCCUUCUGCCUGCCUCCUUCCGUGGUCUGGCCCGAAAGACAUUUCCUGCUGGUGAAUUCCUACUUCUCCUUUGAAGCCUAGUUGAAAUAUCACCUCUUCUGUAAAGUCUUCUGUGACCGGUUUAGCAGAAGUAAUAACGUCCGCCCUGUCUGCAGACAAGACACUUUGUACAUCUCCAUGCUGAUCACUCUCAGAGCCCUGCGUUAUAGGAUGGUCCCACCUUCAGGGUAGGAUGAGGUUUUAUUUGCUGCAAACCUGCUACAGUAGCUGUCCAACCCUCACCAACUCACAGCACACAGAGAAGAGGGUAAUAUUGGCCUGGCAGUGCCACCUCUAACUACCCGGUACAGAGGAGAUCGAUAACUGUGUCCCCCUAUAACUCGUUUGCAGCACACUGGGAAGCCUGCGUGGCUAAGUUCUGGCCUGGUGCCUAGAGUCCGUGGCCCGGCUCUCAGGGGGUGCUUGGGGAAUGUGUGCUGGUGAAGGAUGGGUCACGGGGAUUGUCUUAGCAGCUGCCACCUCUCCCUGUCAACAGUUUGAGUAGGACCAGGUGGUGACAGUGCUGGAUUAGUGGAGGAAAGAGCUGUCCGUUGGGGCUCCUGGAUCCCCAAGUUGACGUGGAGACCAGAGACCCUGUCAGGUCUAUGAAGCUGUGUGUCUCAGGUGAGUUCCACAGUUCUGGCCAAAGACAGGUUGCCCUGCUUCACAGGCUCCCCAUCCCAGAGGAUGGGUGGAGUGUGUUGACUUCAGAGGGGUGACACUGAGAUCAGGGACAGGGUACCUUGAGACAGGCCCUUUGUCAGCAAAGCACCUGACCCUGCUUUCCCAGGCUAUUAAGCUGUGGCCAUAUUUCCGGGCCUGGGCUGUGAAGGAUCUCCCUUCCUCUUUCAGGGCUAAGGCAUUCACCAAAACGGGGCCUCCUCAAUGUGCCAGGGGCCGUGCUGCACACAGGGGGCACAGAGAUGGGUUAGACUGUGGGCCCACCGUCAGGAGCCCACGGUCUAGUGAGGAACUGCCAUGGAAACCCAAGUACAAUAUGGUGCCAGGCACGCCACAAAUGCUAAAUCCACAGAGGACAUGGGUCAUAUAGAGAAAGGAGGGGUGGAGGAGGAGUGUCAAGGAAGGCGUUGGAGAGGAGACGCAAAGCACUGCCAAAGCACAGCUUGGCAGGAAUUUUCUGGAUGGAAUGAGUGAGAGAGAAGCACGCCAGGCAGAGGGAUCACACAAUGAGAAGGAGUUAUGAAAAAUGCCGUCUGUGUGGGGACCUCGAAGUUCAUGGUGGAGGGGUAAGGUGUGAGGAGAGAGAGGCAGGGUAGGUGAUGAGCCACAGGAGUGUCAACCUAUCCCAUCCCUUGUGUGAGGUGCAGAGGACCUCCUGCCCUGCAUGAACACGCUCUGCCAUGAGCAGUAACAUCUUUGUGCAUUUUUUAAAUUUUAAUCUUAAUUUUUAUUUGACAGAGCUCGAGCGAGUGCGCUCGCACAUGUGACCAGGGGGGGAGGGGCACAGUGAGAGUGAGAGAGUGAGAGAGAGAGAGAGAGAGAGAGCGAGCGAGCGCAUCUCAAUCCUCAGCCUCAGCACAGAGCCCC